GCGAGGAGACGGGUUUCUAGCUCUGAGUGCUUACACCUCUAUCCAGCAGCAUCCGGCACCCAUAAGCCUUGAGCAGACAGUCUCGAAGCGGGGACGGUGCUUCAUUUUUACAGGCUCGGCGCUUUUUUAAAAAUCCGUCUCACCUGCAGGAGCGCUGGAAAAAGAAUAAAUAUACUUAUUACGUCCUAUAAUGGAUCAAGACAAAUACUUGCCAGAGCUGAUGGCCGAGAAAGACAGUCUGGAUCCAUCCUUCGUGCACGCGAUGCGCCUUUUGGCAGAAGAGAUCGAGAAGUACGAAGGUGACGAGCUGAGGAAGGAUGGUGAUGUGAAGAAAUACCUGGACGUCAUCAGCAACAAAAACAUCAAACUGUCGGAGAGGGUGCUAAUCCCUGUGCAGCAGUAUCCAAAGUUUAAUUUCGUCGGAAAGCUACUGGGGCCCCGAGGGAAUUCUAUGAAAAGAUUACAAGAAGAAACCGGAGCAAAAAUGUCCAUCUUGGGGAAGGGAUCCAUGCGGGACAAAGGCAAGGAGGAGGAGCUGAGGAAAAGCGGCGAGGCCAAAUACGCUCACCUGAGCAAUGACCUGCACGUUCUCAUUGAGGUGUUUGCCCCACCCGGGGAGGCCUAUUCCCGCAUGAGCCAUGCCUUGGAGGAGAUCAAGAAGUUCCUUGUUCCAGACUACAACGACGAGAUCCGGCAGGAGCAGCUGAGGGAGCUGUCCUACCUGAACGGGUCAGAUGACGGCAGCCGCGGGAGGAGCGUGCGCGGCCGAGGCUUGCGGCUAACCUCCACAGCAACAGCAAGGGGACGGAGUGGAGCCGCCCCUCCCCCCCCACUAGGCAGAGGUGCCGCGGCACCCAGAGGGAGUGUUGGUGCUCGGGGGGCGCUGCCCGUGACCCCAGCCGCCAGGGGUGUGCCAGCUCCCCGUGCCCGAGGAGCACCGGGAACCCCCGCAUACCGACCACCACUGCUGCCCGCUGCACAUGAGUCCUACGACGAAUAUGCAUAUGACGAUGGAUAUGACGGCGAGUAUGACGACCAGAGUUACGAUACUUAUGAAGACACCUACAGCAGUCAGACAAAAAGUGCUUCUGAGUACUACGAAUACAGCCACAGCACAAACGAGGACGCCUACGACGCUUACGAAGAGGAGUGGAGCACGUCCCGGACUAGCCUGAAGGCACCAUCGUCAAGGCUAACCCGAGGGACCUACAGAGAGCAGCCCUAUGGCGUCUCUCGUACCCGGUCUUCAGGUGCUCAGCCGAGACGAGGCCUGAAGUGAAAGGAGAUGGCACCGAUCGAUGAGAGGAAGGACAGGCGUGACAGAAUGAUGACAGAGGCCUUCUCCGUUUGCAGGACUGUGUUAAGAGAAACAGGGGGGGCGGGGAGGUGAGGUGCCCAUGCAGCUUAGAGAUGGGGGCCUGGAAAGGGCCUCAUGCUGUCCAGCGUGGUUGUGCCGCAGCUGAUGCAGAUGUCCAGCCGAGGCACUGUGACGGGACAUCGGCCGUCGUGCUGGAGCGGAGCGGCUUCUCCGGCUGCUGUAGCGAUUUCAUCAGGAAGACAAUCAGCUUGAAUUCACACUCAUUGAAUUCAUGCUUCGUCCGAAUGAAAAGGAUCAGAGGAGCUGGCAGAGUGAAAUGCAGCCAAAAUGCAAAGAAAUCUGUAUUAGGCUCAGCUUGGCACGUGCAGACGAUAAGCUGUUGGGGUCAUUUGCCUCCUUUUAUUAAAUUUUAAAUUGAAUAAUAGCUUAAGGUAUGAACACUCCUGUUUAUACUUUGUAUUUUACAGACUUCACUUUGAUAUUUAAUUAAAAAAAAUGAAAAUUCCAGCUU